UACGUAGGGGGCAAGCGUUGUCCGGAUUUAUUGGGCGUAAAGAGCGUGUAGGCGGCCAAGCAGGUCCGCUGUGAAAACUCGAGGCUCAACCUCGAGACGUCGGUGGAAACCGUUUGGCUAGAGUCCGGAAGAGGAGAGUGGAAUUCCCGGUGUAGCGGUGAAAUGCGCAGAUAUCAGGAGGAACACCGGUGGGCGAAGGCGGGUCUCUGGGCCGA
rnacentral:rRNA from 1 species